rnacentral:lncRNA from 1 species
GACAACUGAUUCUGAGCAUAAAUUGGCACUAGCUGCUAUCAUAUAUAAAGCAAACUUAUCUAUGGAACACUUCUUUCACUGUCAAGCUGGGUUUCUUUUCUGUGGCACCCUUUGGAGAUGAAAGAUGGUGCUUAAUAGUGUAUGUCAUCAUAACUCAUUUAUGUAGGGUGCCAUUUCACUAUGGGUGCUCAAAAACCUACCAAUCCAUGUAAAUAUAGGAGGAAUUGAGAAUACUAUAUGAUAAUGAAACAAUAGGAAGAAAGUGAAAGAUGAGAAGGAAGAAGGGAAGAAGGGAAGAAGGGAAGAAGGAGAGGGUGGUGGUCAAAAGAGACAUUUGAAUGAAUGAGAGAAAGCCCAAAGCUUUCCCCUAUGGUACAAACUCAACUACCC